rnacentral:tRNA from 1 species
GCCCUGGUGACACAAUGAUUGAGCACUCAGCUGCUAACUGAAAGGUUGUUGGUUUGAACCCAACCAACGGCU